GACGAACCGAGCGACCGUUGUUCGGAAUCACUGGGCUUAAAGGGCGCGUAGGCGGGUGCUCAAGUCCGGGGUGAAAUCCCACAGCUCAACUGUGGAACUGCCUCGGAUACUGGGCGUCUCGAGGGUGGCAGGGGUAUGCGGAACUAUCGGUGGAGCGGUGAAAUGCGUAGAUAUCGGGAGGAACACCAGUGGCGAAGGCGACUUCCUGGCCUGUUCUUGACGCUGAGGCGCGAAAGCUAGGGUAGCAAACGGG
rnacentral:rRNA from 1 species